GGGGCGUUAGCUCAGUUGGUAGAGCAAGUGACUUUUAAUCACUGGGUCGUAGGUUCGACUCCUACACGCCUCACCA
rnacentral:tRNA from 1 species